UACGUAGGGGGCAAGCGUUGUCCGGAUUUAUUGGGCGUAAAGGGCGUGUAGGUGGUUUCGUAAGUCUGGCGUGAAAUUUCUCGGCUUAACCGAGGCAGGUCGUCGGAUACUGCGGAACUUGAGGACGGUAGAGGCGUGUGGAAUUCCGGGUGUAGUGGUGAAAUGCGUAGAGAUCCGGAGGAACACCAGUGGCGAAGGCGACACGCUGGGCCGUACCUGACACUGAUGCGCGACAGCAUGGGGAGCAAACAGG
rnacentral:rRNA from 1 species